GACGAACGCUGGCGGCGUGCUUAACACAUGCAAGUCGAACGGCAAGGCCCUGCUUGCUUGGUCCUCCAGUUGCCAACUGGUGAGUAACACGUGGGUGCUUCGCCCUCUACUUCUUCAUAGGCCUUGGCAACUGGGUCCAUUCCCUAAUAGGACCUAUUUUUUGCGUGUUAGUUCGAAAGUUUUUUCGGUCUUGGAUGAGUUCGCGGCCUAUUAUCUUGUUGGUGGGGUAAUGGCCUACCAAGGCGGCGACGGGUAGCCGGCCUGAGAGGGUGGACGGCCACAUUGGGACUGAGAUACGGCCCAGACUCCUACGGGAGGCAGCAGUGGGGAAUAUUGCACAAUGGGCGCAAGCCUGAUGCAGCGACGCCGCGUGGGGGAUGACGGCCUUCGGGUUGUAAACUCCUUUCGCUAGGGACGAAGCUUUUGUGACGGUACCUAGAUAAGAAGCACCGGCUAACUACGUG
rnacentral:rRNA from 1 species